AGUGAACGCUGGCGGUAGGCCUAACACAUGCAAGUCGAACGGCAGCACAGUAAGAGCUUGCUCUUACGGGUGGCGAGUGGAGGACGGGUGAGGAAUACAUCGGAAUCUACUUUUUCGUGGGGGAUAACGUAGGUAAACUUACGCUACUACCGCAUACGACCUACGGGUGCAAGCAGGGGAUCUUCGGACCUUGCGCGGUUGAAUGAGCCGAUGUCGGAUUAGCUAGUUGGCGGGGUAAAGGCCCACCAAGGCGACGAUCCGUAGCUGGUCUGAGAGGAUGAGCAGCGACACUGGAACUGAGACACGGUCCAGACUCCUACGGGAGGCAGCAGUGGGGAAUAUUGGACGAUGGGCGCAAGCCUGAUCCAGCCAUACCGCGUGGGUGAAGAAGGCCUUCGGGUUGUAAAGCCCUUUUGUUGGGAAAGAAAAGCAGCAGGUUAAUACCCCGCUGUUCUGACGGUACCCAAAGAAUAAGCACCGGCUAACUUCGUG
rnacentral:rRNA from 1 species